CCUUUAAUAGGUUAAAGAAACCGGUUGCCUGUGAAGCAACAAAUCAAUUAUUUUUGUUAGAGGC
rnacentral:tRNA from 1 species